GUUUGUAGCUGUUAUAGUUUCGGAGGUUUCGUGAUGAGUGAGUCAACCUACCAUCCCCCGUUUUAACCCCAAAAAGGGAGUUGAUUUCUAAAGAUACAUUAUUUACACACCUUCUCACCAUCUAUAGAGCAUAAAUUUAAGUUUCAAGUCUCUUACUUCAAAAACAUAGUACUUUCGUACAAACUUCCAACCCCCGUUUUACCCCCUUAGGGGUCGAGUUUCGUAAAAUUCGUUCUUAGCGGAUGCCUACGUCUUAUAAGGAGCCAACAUGCCAAAUUUCAAGUAUGUAGGUCUUAUAGUUUCGGAGAUUACAUGAUGAAUGAGUCAAUCUACCAUCCCCCGUUUUAACCCCAAAAGAGAAUUUAUUUCUAAAGAUACAUUAUUUGGAUAACUCUUCACCAUCUAUAGAGUUUACAUUUUAAAUUUCAAGUAGCUUACUUGAAAAAAAUAGGACUUUCAUACAAACUUCCAACCCCCGUUUUACUCCCUUAGGGGUCGAGUUUCGUAAAAUCCGUUCUUAGCGAAUGUCUUCGAUUUAUAAGGAGCCUACCUGCUGAAUUUCAAGUUUGUAG
rnacentral:misc_RNA from 1 species